GUGAGUCAUCGAAUCUUUGAACGCACAUUGCGCCCACUGGUAUUCCGGAGGGCAUGCCUGUCCGAGCGUCAUUGCUGUACAUCAAGCCCGGCUUGUGUGUUGGGCCUACCGUUCCUUGGGACGGUGACCCGAAAGGCAGUGGCGGCGUCGCGUCCCGGUCCUUGAAGCGUAUGGGGCUUUGUCACCUGCUUCGAGGCCGGCCGACCCCGUAGCCCAUUGUGGAUCUUCCACAUUUUAUUUUGAUGGACCUCGGAUCAGGUAGGGAUACCCGCUGAACUUAAGCAUAUCAAUAAGCGGAGG
rnacentral:misc_RNA from 1 species